rnacentral:rRNA from 1 species
GGUGGUAAAUUCCAUCUAAAGCUAAAUACCGGCCGGAGACCGAUAGCGCACAAGUAGAGUGAUCGAAAGAUGAAAAGCCCUUUGGAAAGAGAGUCAAACAGCACGUGAAAUUGUUGAAAGGGAAGCGCUGGCCCCCAGACCUGCCCGCGGGCGAUCCCCCGAGGCGAUAAAGCCACGGGGGGUACUCUCCCGCGCGCAGGCCAGCACGGGUCCGGGCGGCGGGACAAAGCGCCCGGGAAUGUAGCUCCCUCCGGGGAGCCUUAUAGCCCGGGCGGUCAUGCCGCCCGCCCGGACCGAGGACCGCGCUCCGGCGAGGGUGCUGGCGUAAUGGGGGUCAGCGACCCGUCUUGAAACACGGACCAAGGAGUCUAACGUCCCCGCGAGUGUUCGGGCGUCAAACCCCCGGCGCGGAAUGAAAGUGAACGGAGGUGGGAGCCCCGCGAGGGGCGCACCAUCGACCGAUCCAGAUGUCUUCGGAUGGAUUUGAGUACGAGCGCGGCCGUUGGGACCCGAAAGAUGGUGAACUAUGCCUGGGUAGGGUGAAGCCAGAGGAAACUCUGGUGGAGGCUCGCAGCGGUUCUGACGUGCAAAUCGAUCGUCAAACCUGGGCAUAGGGGCGAAAGACUAAUCGAACCAUCUAGUAGCUGGUUCCUGUCGAAGUUUCCCUCAGGAUAGCAGUCGCGCGGGCGGUUUUAUGAGGUAAAGCGAAUGAUUAGAGGCCUUGGGGGUGCAACACCCUUAACCUAUUCUCAAACUUUAAAUAUGUAAGAAGCCCCUGUUGCUUCGGUGAACGGGGGCGUGCGAACGCGGCGCGGCUAGUGGGCCAUUUUUGGUAAGCAGAACUGGCGAUGCGGGAUGAACCGAACGCGGGGUUAAGGUGCCGGAAUGCACGCUCAUCAGACACCACAAAAGAUGUCAAUUCAUCCGGACAGCCGGACGGUGGCCAUGGAAGCCGGAACCCGCCAAGGAGUGCGUAACAGCUCACCGGCCGAAUGAAUUGGCUCUGAAAAUGGAUGGCGCUCAAGCGUGCUACCCAUACCCCGCCGCCGGGG